rnacentral:tRNA from 1 species
GCCGGCGUAGCUCAGUCGGUAGAGCGCGUCCUUGGUAAGGACGAGGUCACCGGUUCAAUCCCGGUCGUCGGCUCCA